rnacentral:misc_RNA from 1 species
GAUGAAGAACGCAGCGAAAUGCGAUAAGUAAUGUGAAUUGCAGAAUUCAGUGAAUCAUCGAAUCUUUGAACGCACAUUGCGCCCGUCAGUAUUCUGGCGGGCAUGCCUGUUCGAGCGUCAUUACGCCCCUCAAGUCCCCUGGGGACUUGGUGUUGGGGAGCGGCGAGGCUGGUUUUCCAGCACAGCCGUCCCUUAAAUUAAUUGGCGGUCUCGCCGUGGCCCUCCUCUGCGCAGUAGUAAAACACUCGCAACAGGAGCCCGGCGCGGUCCACUGCCGUAAAACCCCCCAACUUUUUAUAGUUGACCUCGAAUCAGGUAGGACUACCCGCUGAACUUAAGCAUAUCAAUAAGCGGAGGA